UACGUAGGGUGCAAGCGUUGUCCGGAAUUAUUGGGCGUAAAGAGCUCGUAGGCGGUCUGUCGCGUCGCUGUGAAAUCCCGAGGCUCAACCUCGGGUCUGCAGUCGAUACGGGCAAACUAGAGUAUUGCAGGGGAGACUGGAAUUCCUGGUGUAGCGGUGAAAUGCGCAGAUAUCAGGAGGAACACCGGUGGCGAAGGCGGGUCUCUGGGCCGUAACUGACGCUGAGGAGCGAAAGCGUGGGGAGCGAACAGG
rnacentral:rRNA from 1 species